rnacentral:lncRNA from 1 species
GUGGAGUAAAGCAAAUACUUACCAGCCUGUCUAUAUAAGAGAAAAGUUGAAUCAAUAAUGCAUGAUUAAGACAAAUCUACCACUUCGUUUUUCCUGCAGGCAUGCACUUGUCUCAGAUUUCCUCCCUAUAUACCUUAAUAUUACAUAUUUUAAAGUAUAUAGGAAAUUUAUUUUGAGACAAGUGCCUGUGGUUUUCCCCCGGAAAAAAUUUCCUCAUUUUCA